GCGGUGUGCCUAAUACAUGCAAGUCGAACGCGUUGGCCCAAUUGAUUGAUGGUGCUUGCACCUGAUUGAUUUUGGUYGCCAACGAGUGGCGGACGGGUGAGUAACACGUAGGUAACCUGCCCAGAAGCGGGGGACAACAUUUGGAAACAGAUGCUAAUACCGCAUAACARCGUUGUUCGCAUGAACAACGCUUAAAAGAUGGCUUCUCGCUAUCACUUCUGGAUGGACCUGCGGUGCAUUAGCUUGUUGGUGGGGUAACGGCCUACCAAGGCGAUGAUGCAUAGCCGAGUUGAGAGACUGAUCGGCCACAAUGGGACUGAGACACGGCCCAUACUCCUACGGGAGGCAGCAGUAGGGAAUCUUCCACAAUGGGCGCAAGCCUGAUGGAGCAACACCGCGUGAGUGAAGAAGGGUUUCGGCUCGUAAAGCUCUGUUGUUAAAGAAGAACACGUAUGAGAGUAACUGUUCAUACGUUGACGGUAUUUAACCAGAAAGUCACGGCUAACUACGUGCCAGCAGCCGCGGUAAUACGUAGGUGGCAAGCGUUAUCCGGAUUUAUUGGGCGUAAAGAGAGUGCAGGCGGUUUUCUAAGUCUGAUGUGAAAGCCUUCGGCUUAACCGGAGAAGUGCAUCGGAAACUGGAUAACUUGAGUGCAGAAGAGGGUAGUGGAACUCCAUGUGUAGCGGUGGAAUGCGUAGAUAUAUGGAAGAACACCAGUGGCGAAGGCGGCUACCUGGUCUGCAACUGACGCUGAGACUCGAAAGCAUGGGUAGCGAACAGGAUUAGAUACCCUGGUAGUCCAUGCCGUAAACGAUGAGUGCUAGGUGUUGGAGGGUUUCCGCCCUUCAGUGCCGGAGCUAACGCAUUAAGCACUCCGCCUGGGGAGUACGACCGCAAGGUUGAAACUCAAAGGAAUUGACGGGGGCCCGCACAAGCGGUGGAGCAUGUGGUUUAAUUCGAAGCUACGCGAAGAACCUUACCAGGUCUUGACAUCUUGCGCCAACCCUAGAGAUAGGGCGUUUCCUUCGGGAACGCAAUGACAGGUGGUGCAUGGUCGUCGUCAGCUCGUGUCGUGAGAUGUUGGGUUAAGUCCCGCAACGAGCGCAACCCUUGUUACUAGUUGCCAGCAUUAAGUUGGGCACUCUAGUGAGACUGCCGGUGACAAACCGGAGGAAGGUGGGGACGACGUCAGAUCAUCAUGCCCCUUAUGACCUGGGCUACACACGUGCUACAAUGGACGGUACAACGAGUCGCGAACUCGCGAGGGCAAGCAAAUCUCUUAAAACCGUUCUCAGUUCGGACUGCAGGCUGCAACUCGCCUGCACGAAGUCGGAAUCGCUAGUAAUCGCGGAUCAGCAUGCCGCGGUGAAUACGUUCCCGGGCCUUGUACACACCGCCCGUCACACCAUGAGAGUUUGUAACACCCAAAG
rnacentral:rRNA from 1 species